AUUGAACGCUGGCGGCAUGCCUUACACAUGCAAGUCGAACGGUAACAGGUCUUCGGAUGCUGACGAGUGGCGAACGGGUGAGUAAUACAUCGGAACGUGCCCGAUCGUGGGGGAUAACGGAGCGAAAGCUUUGCUAAUACCGCAUACGAUCUACGGAUGAAAGCAGGGGACCGCAAGGCCUUGCGCGGACGGAGCGGCCGAUGGCAGAUUAGGUAGUUGGUGGGAUAAAAGCUUACCAAGCCGACGAUCUGUAGCUGGUCUGAGAGGACGACCAGCCACACUGGGACUGAGACACGGCCCAGACUCCUACGGGAGGCAGCAGUGGGGAAUUUUGGACAAUGGGCGAAAGCCUGAUCCAGCCAUGCCGCGUGCAGGAUGAAGGCCUUCGGGUUGUAAACUGCUUUUGUACGGAACGAAAAGACUCCUUCUAAUAAAGGGGGUCCAUGACGGUACCGUAAGAAUAAGCACCGGCUAACUACGUGCCAGCAGCCGCGGUAAUACGUAGGGUGCAAGCGUUAAUCGGAAUUACUGGGCGUAAAGCGUGCGCAGGCGGUUAUAUAAGACAGAUGUGAAAUCCCCGGGCUCAACCUGGGAACUGCAUUUGUGACUGUAUAGCUAGAGUACGGCAGAGGGGGA
rnacentral:rRNA from 1 species